rnacentral:rRNA from 1 species
CACGUAGGGGCCAAGCGUUGUCCGGAUUUAUUGGGCGUAAAGAGCGUGUAGGCGGCCAGGUAGGUCUGGUGUGAAAACUCGAGGCUUAACCUCGAGAUGUCAUCGGAAACCAUCUGGCUAGAGUCCGGAAGAGGAGAGUGGAAUUCCUGGUGUAGCGGUGAAAUGCGCAGAUAUCAGGAAGAACACCCGUGGCGAAAGCGGCUCUCUGGAACGGUACUGACGCUGAGACGCGAAAGCGUGGGGAGCGAACAGG